AUGCGAGACCACAUGCAUCAUGGAUGCCAUGCUCUAGCAUCGUAAGAUCAUAAAGUGCAGCAGUUACAUUUGGAAGAUCGUAGAUUAUAUAGACUCCUAGUGAUUUAGAUUUACUUAAUAAAAACUCCAGAGUUUAUGCAAAUAUCCAACACGACUAACAUAACAAUAACUCAACUGUAAGGAAUUUGCCAACCAUUCCUUGCAUAACUUGCAGCAUUGCACCAAGAAAGUAGUCACUUCAAAUCCAUUCUUGAGGAGGUAAUUGUAGAUUGAUAGCAACAACCUCUCACAUUGCCUUAAGCUCCUUGUCUGCCCACUGAAAAUGGAAGACUGCAGAAUUAGAGCCAUAGGUAUGACCCCUACAUUGGUUUCUCUUUCCAGUUAUGUUCUUAUCUUUGUAUCUCACAAAUUAUGUGCUUUUACUCAAAAUAAGCACCUAGAGAAAUUCUCUUUUUUCUCAUAAGAAACAACAAGAAAACUCCAAGAAGAAAAAGAAAAACCAGCUAUAGAAACAUUGAAGGGUUUCCCAGAAACAGAAAAAGGGUAUGGAGACUACAAUUUCAUCUUCAAGAAGCAGUAUCCCAGAUGCACAUACUUUAGAUGGUAUCUUAUACAUUUAUUUGUAUCUUUUUUUUUUUUAAUUUUGAGAGAAGACAUUCAUUUUUAAUAUUUACAUCACUAGAGCCUUCCAUUUUGCUUUUGCUUAGAUGGCAUGAAAAUUUACUCUUUUUUUUCCGAGACUAGUAGAGGCUAACUCCCCACCAUUUUUACCCUAUACAACCUUGGGGGCUGGCUCCAACCAGAAUCGAACUCCUGACUUCUUGCCCGAAUGCUGAGAGAUGAUGCUAUCCUAGCAAGUGCUCGAUAGUAUGAUUGUUUAGUAAUUGAUCCUUCAAACUUGUCUUAGCUCCUCUUCUUACCAUGCUAUCCUCAAAUUUUUCUUAUGUGCCUUUGCAUUGUUUAUGCAGAUACUCUAACAAUGUUUCUCAAUAGAUAAAUCUACACACCCAACACUGCACACAGUUCAUGUUAUUCUACAAUUUAACAUCCAUCCAUUUCAAUAUUUUUUCUGCAAGAGAUGCUCUUAUUUGUUUUGGCUCUGUCCUGUGGUAUAGGACAUGAAGCAUCAAGUCAUUUUGAUUAUGACCCUCCUGAUCAAAUAUGAUCUAUUUUGUAGUGACUGUAUCUAAUAUUUGGGUAACCAAAAAUUGAGACCAUGCUAUAUCAAACAGCCACUUAGCUAAAUCAGUAGGCUAUAUAUAGAACUUUUUAUUUGACCACAUGUUUAUAUCCUCUUAUCUUUAUUUUUGGAGUUUGCUUGUACAUUGUUCUGCUUAAACAUCAUAGAAUAU
rnacentral:lncRNA from 1 species